AUUGAACGCUGGCGGAAUGCUUUACACAUGCAAGUCGAACGGCAGCACGGGGCAACCUGGUGGCGAGUGGCGAACGGGUGAGUAAUACAUCGGAACGUGCCCAAUCGUGGGGGAUAACGUAGCGAAAGUUACGCUAAUACCGCAUACGAUCUACGGAUGAAAGCGGGGGAUCGCAAGACCUCGCGCGAAUGGAGCGGCCGAUGUCAGAUUAGGUAGUUGGUGGGGGAAAGGCCUACCAAGCCAACGAUCUGGGGCUGGUCUGAGAGGACGACCAGCCAGACUGGAACUGAGACACGGCCCAGACUCCUACGGGAGGCAGCAGUGGGGAAUUUUGGACAAUGGGCGCAAGCCUGAUCCAGCCAUUCCGCGUGCAGGAUGAAGGCCUUCGGGUUGUAAACUGCUUUUGUACGGAACGAAACGGUUCUCUCUAAUACAGGGGGCUAAUGACGGUACCGUAAGAAUAAGCACCGGCUAACUACGUGCCAGCCGCCGCGGUAAUAC
rnacentral:rRNA from 1 species